CACGGGGGGAGCAAGCGUUGUUCGGAAUCACUGGGCGUAAAGGGCGUGUAGGCGGUCAAGUAAGUGGGAUGUGAAAUCCCUCGGCUCACCCGAGGACCGGCAUCUCAUACUGCUUGGCUUGAGUACGGGAGAGGAUGUGGGAAUUCCUGGUGUAGCGGUGAAAUGCGUAGAUAUCAGGAGGAACACCGGUGGCGAAGGCGCACAUCUGGCCCGAUACUGACGCUAAAGCGCGAAAGCUAGGGGAGCAAACGGG
rnacentral:rRNA from 1 species